GAAAUCUACAGGAAAAAGAUUUGCAGAAAUGUUAGCAUAUGUCCAUAAACAAAACCAUUAUCAAGAUUAAGGCCACAAUAUUUAAUCUGAAUAAUGCCUCGUUUACAUUAGGGAAAGGUCAUGUGUUCUACUGCAAGCACUUAGCCAAUUUGAGCUAAGAGGGCUAAUACAACUUUUCAAUAUCCAUAUGGAAUCCUUUGUUUUUUAAGAUAAUGUUUGAACUUGCAGAAAUGGAGCAAAGUUUUUGUUCCAUGAGAAACAAUAUAAAGUCUGAUGCAAAGACAGAUAUUGUGUGCUACAUUGUGCUAAGUGUCCAUGACAACACUGAACAAGCAAACUAGGUUUCCCAUGUCACACUAUAUUUGCUCAAGAUUUAAUUUUAAAACACAUAAUUAAAAAAAGUAGCAUUUCCCCAUACUUUUUGCUUUAAAUGGCAAAAAUCAACGGCACCUCACAUAAACUUCACUGUAGUGUGAUUUACCUGUCAAUAGUCAGAUCUAGUCCACACUGUUCCCUGAGCUGAGGAAGUAGCUCCUCUUUUGACUGCCGCACAGUCAUUCCUUUAGCAAAAACAGAAUCUAGAAGAAACUUGCAGGGCUGCGAAAACAAAUGUAAAAUUAUUAAGCUUAUUGGAGAAAUCACUCUCUGACACACUCAUAAAAGGUGAAGUUAUAAAAUACAGGGCUGCUGCCAUAGCCUCCAUAGCAUUGAAAAAAAUACCCCAUGGUUUCCACACAAUGUGACAAAGACUAUUUAGGAUUUCUGUUUAUCAGGUAUGCAGAACUCAGUAAUAAAGCAAUGCAAUUUUUAAAAA